UACGUAGGCAGCGAGCGUUGUUCGGAGUUACUGGGCGUAAAGGGUGUGUAGGCGGUUUUCUAAGUUUGGUGUGAAAUCUCCCGGCUUAACCGGGAGGGUGCGCCGAAAACUGGGAGACUAGAGUGCGGGAUGGGAGAGUAGAAUUCCUGGUGUAGCGGUGAAAUGCGUAGAUAUCAGGAGGAACACCGGUGGUGCAGACGGCUCUCUGGACCGCAACUGACGCUGAGACACGAAAGCGUGGGUAGCAAACAGG
rnacentral:rRNA from 1 species